rnacentral:tRNA from 1 species
GCCGAAAUGGUGGAAUUGGUAGACACAAGGGACUUAAAAUCCCUCGGCCGUAAAAGGCCGUGCCGGUUCAAUCCCGGUUUUCGGCA